rnacentral:lncRNA from 1 species
GAGCACUCAAAUGAAACCGCAGUUAUCCUGAAAAAUGUUUAUCAUAGUUUGAUGAGUUUGGCUACUCAGUAAGUGAUCAUCAUAAUCCUAAAAAUAAUCAUGAUUGAAAGAUAUCAAUAUUUUCCAAAAUGAGAUCUUUUAACAGAAAUGCAUCAACAGUUUCACUUUCAAUAAAUGCAUAAUUAAGUAUAAUCCAAGUAAUUGAAAUGCUUAUAACACUUUUAACGGCAGUGCAUAAUUCAAAGGAUUUCACA